AUUGAACGCUGGCGGCAGGCCUAACACAUGCAAGUCGAGCGAGCGGCGGACGGGUGAGUAAUGUCUGGGAAACUGCCUGAUGGAGGGGGAUAACUACUGGAAACGGUAGCUAAUACCGCAUACCAUCAGAUGUGCCCAGAUGGGAUUAGCUUGUAGGUGGGGUAAUGGCUCACCUAGGCGACGAUCCCUAGCUGGUCUGAGAGGAUGACCAGCCAGACUGGCACUGAGACACGGUCCAGACUCCUACGGGAGGCAGCAGUGGGGAAUAUGGCACAGUGGGCGCAAGCCUGAUGCAGCCAUGCCGCGUGUAUGAAGAAGGCCGUCGGGUUGUAAAGUACUUUCAGCGGGGAGGCGUUACCCGCAGAAGAAGCACCGGCUAACUCCGUGCCAGCAGCCGCGGUAAUAC
rnacentral:rRNA from 1 species